AUACGUAGGUGGCAAGCGUUAUCCGGAUUUAUUGGGCGUAAAGCGAGCGCAGGCGGUUUGAUAAGUCUGAUGUGAAAGCCUUUGGCUUAACCAAAGAAGUGCAUCGGAAACUGUCAGACUUGAGUGCAGAAGAGGACAGUGGAACUCCAUGUGUAGCGGUGGAAUGCGUAGAUAUAUGGAAGAACACCAGUGGCGAAGGCGGCUGUCUGGUCUGCAACUGACGCUGAGGCUCGAAAGCAUGGGUAGCGAACAGGAUUAGAUACCCUGGUAGUCCAUGCCGUAACCGAUGAGUGCUAGGUGUUGGAGGGUUUCCGCCCUUCAGUGCCGCAGCUAACGCAUUAAGCACUCCGCCUGGGGAGUACGACCGCAAGGUUGAAACUCAAAUGAAUUGACGGGG
rnacentral:rRNA from 1 species